rnacentral:lncRNA from 1 species
AUUCACUAUAAUAUGUAAAAGAUUUCUUUCCAUUGAAGAUCAUUUUCCAUCAAUGUACUAUUCUGGUAGCCAAAUCUAUUUGAAAAUUACCUUUAAACAGAUUUUAUUUUGAGAAAAAAGAAUAAUGAAUAACAUUCAAAUCAGAGGCUUUGUCAUUUUUUCAUAGAUUAAAGUACUUACAGAUAUAGGAUUUUUUACGGGGGCCUUUCAUGAGCUGUCUUUGCUUAUUUCGGGAGAGAGAAUUCCAUGGAAAAUACCAGCAGGAUACAGAUGUACUGAACAAGUGCAGGCCUCACAGAAAUUUGAUACCUCAAAAUCUCUCAUGACUGAUACAAAUUUGCAGGUACUGGAAGAUACAUUUAAUUGGAGUCUGUCUUUAACAGUGGCGCCACUGUGCAACCCACAAAUGAUGAAUAAAUUAACCUUAGCCAAAAUGCAUCUCAUCAUUUGUCUUUCUGCCACAAUAAAUAAUAUACCUGAAAAAGUUGAAAAAGAUUUAUAUUUUGUUGACAACGACAACUUACCAGAGCCAAGCAAAACUACAGCAUCAAAUGUAAAAGUUGAUGCUGAUCAGGAUCCAAGACAACAGGAACAAAG